rnacentral:rRNA from 1 species
UACGUAGGGUGCAAGCGUUGUCCGGAAUUAUUGGGCGUAAAGAGCUCGUAGGCGGUCUGUCGCGUCUGCUGUGAAAAUCCAGGGCUCAACCCUGGACCUGCAGUGGGUACGGGCAGACUAGAGUGCGGUAGGGGAGAUCGGAAUUCCUGGUGUAGCGGUGAAAUGCGUAGAUAUCUGGAGGAAUACCGGUGGCGAAGGCGGGUCUCUGGGCAGUAACUGACGCUGAGGAGCGAAAGCGUGGGGAGCGAACAGG